AUUGAACGCUGGCGGCAUGCCUUACACAUGCAAGUCGAACGGUAACAGGCCGCAAGGUGCUGACGAGUGGCGAACGGGUGAGUAAUGCAUCGGAACGUGCCCAGUCGUGGGGGAUAACGCAGCGAAAGCUGCGCUAAUACCGCAUACGAUCUAUGGAUGAAAGCGGGGGACCGUAAGGCCUCGCGCGAUUGGAGCGGCCGAUGUCAGAUUAGGUAGUUGGUGGGGUAAAGGCUCACCAAGCCAACGAUCUGUAGCUGGUCUGAGAGGACGACCAGCCACACUGGGACUGAGACACGGCCCAGACUCCUACGGGAGGCAGCAGUGGGGAAUUUUGGACAAUGGGCGCAAGCCUGAUCCAGCAAUGCCGCGUGCAGGAAGAAGGCCUUCGGGUUGUAAACUGCUUUUGUACGGAACGAAACGGUCCUGGUUAAUACCCGGGGCUAAUGACGGUACCGUAAGAAUAAGCACCGGCUAACUACGUGCCAGCAGCCGCGGUAAUAC
rnacentral:rRNA from 1 species